rnacentral:rRNA from 1 species
AAAGAUGAUCAGUCCGAUGAGUUCACAGGACCCUCCGAUCGGUUGCAGCGACGGGCGGUGUGUACAAGGGGCAGGGACGUAAUCGGCGCAAGCUGCUGACUUGCGCCUACUAGGCAUUCCUCGUUGAAGAUUAAUAAUUGCAAUAAUCUAUCCCCAUCACGAUGCACACUCAAAAGAUUACCCAGACCUGAAUCACUAGUGAAUUCG